GACAGCUUUAGGAAAGCAGGAGAAGAAUAAGAAAUUUUGUGCUUUUCUUUAUACAACAGCACUGAAAUAGAAAGGAAACUUGGCAAAAACAUCAGUGAUUCAUGAUUUUGGUUUUGGUGGGCAUCUAUAAUAAAUUUAAAUGUGAAGAAUGAGGAAGAGUGGGCAAACUGUGCUGCUGGAACUGAAUUCCCCGAGCAAGGACAGGUUUCAGUGCCACGUGCACACCGUAAUGCUUUGUGACAGCAACAUAAAUGAUGGUUGAACGCUGAUUUUCCACUUUCAGUCAGCGAAAUGAUCACAUUACAGUUAUUAUAACUAACUCCCAUCAUGAUAUUCUCAUUGUUUGGCACCAUCAGCUGUUGUCCAUUAACGCUUCUAAUGCUGGAUAAUUUGCCAUUUUCCUAAGCAAUCUCUUGAAGUCCUCAACAGUUGCUUACUCAUCAUCUCAUGCUCUAUCUGUUUUGCAGAAAAUUUGGAGGAAAGGGAGCUGUCUCAACCAUGAUGCAGCCCGAUCGCUUCCUCAGCAACCCACUUCACCCAAUCCGAAGAAAAAAAUGGGGAUUUUCCUUCCAUCUGAUUUCUUCAAGCAACCCGUCCAUGAACUGAGAUUCGAGAGCUAAAAGGCAUGCUCAGCUGUCAGCUUUUAGCCUGGCUCCGUGCACAUGUUGCUCCAACUCUCAAUUAUUUGCUAAUCUAGAAGACCUACGAAGGAGGUGGAUCUGACCUUUGAAAAUAAUCCUCUUAAACGGGACUGUGAAGACGGGAUGUGAACUCGACUUCCUUGACCCGACUUCAUCAGCGAACGCUGAUUCAUUGAAAUUGAAGCGUUUUGCUGAAAAUAGAGCAGUUUCGAUGGAAAUUUCCCUGAUUCCCAGGCAGGAGCCUGGGGGAACUGGCUGCUUUUAGAGCAGCUCUGCUCUCCCUCACUCCAAGACACCCACACCUUGCAGGUAGAUCCUUCCUGAGCAAACCAGCUUCAGUAAGAACUGCCCCUUGAGAUAACCCUUUAAUUUUGCUAACAGCUUUCUCCGUAUGGCCACUGCAUGAUUAUUUUAACACUUUCUCUGUAGAGUCUCACCCCGGAUUCUUCUAACAAACGCCUUGUAACUCGUGUGACCUUUCCUAGCGAUACAUCACCGGUGACUGUAUUAAUGAUAUUUUAUCGGCAGGGAGAGAUUUAGCAUGGCAGGCUGUCUGCAGAAUUUAGUGCAGGGUGCUUUCCGUCCAAGUAAAUGGCAAGACUGGACCCAAAUUAUGCCCACGUACACACAGAAUAUAUGAGAAAUCUUAAAGGCGUUUGGAUUCAUUCAGGGAAGGCGAACCCUGCGCUGAUUAAAGUGCAAUAAAGCAGCAAUUACUGUUGCCA
rnacentral:lncRNA from 1 species